CUCGUUGAACGGAGGACGUGACCAAGAGAGCUGCUCUGGCCGCCAUUCAUCGCAGAAUCAAGGAACGGGAGCGGCUCGCAGUGAAUGCGAUGAUCCCGUUUUGGUGAACGGGAAACGGAGGCCGAAAGAGUGUACAAAGGCCAUUGAUGAAAGUGGACCUACAGGGAGAGAGGCAUUUCGUUGAUCAAGACUCGCAGGUCGAUCGCACUCUCUUUGUUCUUCUCGAAUAGUAGAAGACGACGAUCCGAGAAGGAAAGAUUCUGGAUACAGAGAAUUCUGUUGCUAUUCUUCCAAAUUUGCGGGGGACAAUUGAGGAGCUUUCAGGACUUGAUCUGUCGGACUGUUUGAUAUUGGAGUUCAGCAACGAAGUUGUUCUCGCCCUUCUUGAAGAUGCAUUUUCCUCCUAGUAUCGAUCCGUGAAUUCCUUUGUUGAAUCGUACACGAAGAAGCGGCGAUCUCUGGAUUACUUACGCGAAAUCUGGUGAAAUCCCCACGAAAACAGGCGAAAUCAGGACAUUACUCAAGGACCUAAAAAUCGAAGAAUCCUCAACGAAGGCAACCAAGAUCUUGGGUGUCGGAGCUACUCAAAUCAGGGACCUCCAGUUCACUACCGCUGUGAUCUCCUUUCUAUUCCUCUUUGGAAAUUGAUUUCCUGCCCUUGGAAGACAAAGAAACUACACCUUCUCCGCAGGCAAGGUACAAGAUCACAUAAAGGUAGAAUUUUCUUUUUCGUACUACUACUGGUCAAUCAUUCGAGGCUAUUGAAAUCUCCAUGCCUUUUUGUUAGAUGUUUUCUUCUCCUCACUGUCCUCUCUGAUCACAGUGAUUCAUUAGUCUCUUUGUAGUUCUCCAGCCGCCCUUUCGCU